AGAAAGAAAGAAAGAAAGAAAAGGCAUUACCGGAGCUGUAAUAGUUUGGCUGUAUACCUGCUGUAAUUUAGCUGUGACUUGUGCAUGAUGUGUGUGAGGAACAGAGAUGAUAGGGAGUAAGAGAAAUCAGAAUUUGCUGGAAUAUGUUACUUUGACAAAUUGGAAGUAGUUGGCUUAUGAUAAUGAUCCUCUGAUAUUUCUUGUAGCAUUGCAAUUUGAAAACGCUGAAUAAAUUAUUUCAAAUCAUUGAAUUCAAUAUUAGUUAUUAGGGUUGGGGAUAAGCCCGCAUGGAAGGCCCUGAAUUUUAACAAAUUAAAAUGAAA
rnacentral:misc_RNA from 1 species